rnacentral:rRNA from 1 species
CUACGGGACGCAGCGGUGGGGAAUAUUGCACAAUGGGCGCAAGCCUGAUGCAGCAACGCCGCGUGAGGGAUGAAGGCCUUCGGGUUGUAAACCUCUUUUAGCAGGGAAGAAGCGAAAGUGACGGUACCUGCAGAAAAAGCACCGGCUAACUACGUGCCAGCAGCCGCGGUAAUACGUAGGGUGCAAGCGUUGUCCGGAAUUAUUGGGCGUAAAGAGCUCGUAGGCGGUUUGUCACAGUCUGCUGUGAAAAUCCAAGGCUCAACCUUGGACUUGCAGUGGGUACGGGCAGGCUAGAGUGCGGUAGGGGAGAUGGGAAUUCCUGGUGUAGCGGUGGUAUGCGCAGAUAUCAGGAGGAACACCAAUGGCGAAGGCACAUCUCUGGGCCGUAACUGACGCUGAGGAGCGAAAGCGUGGGGAGUGAACAGGAUUAGAUACCCCCGUAGUC